rnacentral:lncRNA from 1 species
CUCUCUCGUGCGUGUGUGUGCGCGCCCCUGUGAGUGCGUUUUCUUUCAUUUCUGGCAUUAGAAAACUCGUGCAGGGCCACUGAAAAGUCAGGGGAGGCUCAGAUGUUAUUUCCCACGGAUUCCUGUUUUUCCAGAAACGUUGUCACCAAAUAAGUAUGAGACUGUUAAUUUGGAGAAACAAUUAGCCCCUACAAAAAAAAAGAAAAAGAAAAAGAAAAAGAAAAAAAGAACCGGAGGGGAGAAGGCUAGGGCGGAAGACAAGGAAGCUGCUGCUUGGAUUCGCUGGUGGAGGAAAGUGCGACCUGGACCUGAGCUUGGGGGCUCCCGUCCCCUUGCUUCAGCACCAGAGGGGAUGGACAGCGUCUCCGGACUGAGCUGCAGCCACAGGGACGGAACUACGCUGCCGCCGCCGCUGUCCUUGCCGCCACUGUCGUCGCCACGGGCAGCUGGGCUACUUGCUCCUCGCAGCUAAAAGGCGGUGCCUCCUAUUACCCCCUCGCGUCCCGGCCCCCUUUCUUAAUGGAUGAAAAGUACCCCUCCCUCUACACCUGCUGUACCUAAGGACAGGACUCUGAGGAGUACUCUUGCUCCACGGAUUAAACUCUCAGCAGCAACUUCAACAAUCAUUUUUCUAUAGGGGCCUGGGAGGAAUUCUGGAGGAGAGUAAAGUCGAAGUUCUUAGAAGCUCUGAGAAAUCAUGGGCCGUGCGGUAGGGGUUGAAAUGCUCAAAGGCCCACACUUCUUGAAAUAAACAGAAUGGUCUUGAGUGGAUUGCAACUCUUUUGGAAAUAGCUUUGUAAAAAGAGGGUGGAGAGCUACUCAAAAUUCUACGUUAGAGAGACUGAAAAGACAUCUACUUUCAUUGCUCGGCAGACUGCUCUGCAGAAUGUUGAGAUUGCCCGAGAAGUGACCCCAGCAAAAGAAAAAUAUUGCUGUACCUAAAUUCAAGUAAGACCAUUACUUUGCAAUAACGUA